ensembl:lncRNA
CUGUAUUCAUAAUGUGUUUGCAGGAGUAUCCAAAUGAAAUAUUAAUUCUCUCUUUCUCUUUUGUUCUUCUUGUCCUCAGGCUGAACUGAUAGGCAGAUGGCUACAGUCUCUACACGAUUAGUGUCUGGGAUGGAUGAGUGAAAGUGGCUUCUCUCAAACAUGUCGCAUGGAAGGAAAACCACUAACAUACAAGACGUCUCCUGGUUAUGGGUGUGUGUUGACAAGAACCGAAGGGAAAAGACAAAGAGGCCGUGAGGAAGUUGUAAAACAGCCUGACGUGAACAUUAAGGUCUGGAGAAAUUCAAUUGGUAAUUUUCAGAGUGGGUGAGCCGAUCACAGCUAAUAAAAUCAGCAGUUCUCAAAGACA